rnacentral:rRNA from 1 species
AUUGAACGCUGGCGGCAGGCCUAACACAUGCAAGUCGAACGGUAACAGGAAGAAGCUUGCUUCUUUGCUGACGAGUGGCGGACGGGUGAGUAAUGUCUGGGAAACUGCCUGAUGGAGGGGGAUAACUACUGGAAACGGUAGCUAAUACCGCAUAACGUCGCAAGACCAAAAAGGGGGACCUUCGGGCCUCUUGCCAUCGGAUGUGCCCAGAUGGGAUUAGCUAGUAGGUGGGGUAACGGCUCACCUAGGCGACGAUCCCUAGCUGGUCUGAGAGGAUGACCAGCCACACUGGAACUGAGACACGGUCCAGACUCCUACGGGAGGCAGCAGUGGGGAAUAUUGCACAAUGGGCGCAAGCCUGAUGCAGCCAUGCCGCGUGUAUGAAGAAGGCCUUCGGGUUGUGAAGUACUUUCAGCGGGGAGGAAGGGAGUAAAGUUAAUACCUUUGCUCAUUGACGUUACCCGCAGAAGAAGCACCGGCUAACUCCGUG